AUCUUCCCAUUUCCUAUUGAAGCUCAUCACUUAGAAAGAAUAUGAACUGUUGUUCAAUGUUGUAAUUUCUUUCUGGCCUAUGGUUUAUAGCAAAUCCUGUGUCCGAGUUUCAAAGGUGUGAACCAUGGCUUACACAAAACCUGUUCAUUCUAUUGUAGCUAUUCCUAGCAGUGGAGUUCGAACACAGCAUCCGCCGCUACAUGUCUUCACAUUUUUUUAACGCCUAUAACCAUUUUUUUUCAUCUUAUAAUCAUACUAUGUUUUCUCAUUGACAGAAGUCAUCAAAGAAUGAUGACUCUGCACAGCGAGAGAGAAAAUUCCAGAAAGAAAAAUUUUCUGAAUGGAUGAUACUUUCUUAUUGCUUACCAUAUUGACUGCCCAUUUACAUUUAUAGCUACAGCUCGCUGAUGGAUAAACUGCUCUCUACAGCUUUCAACAACUGACGUUAACAACUCUUUAACAGUCCUCAACUAACAUUGACUUUAAUGACCUUAACAACUUUGCAACUGACGUUAACAACUCUUAACGGUCUUCCGCUGACAUUAAUAGCUCCUCCAGGGGUGGUGGUUUUCUACCUUGUCUUUUGGGAGAUGGGUGGCCUGAGCCCUUGUUAACUCUUCUAUCGCCUCUGCUGCUCGUCUUCCCUGAUGCUCUGGAACAUUGUUGAAUUGGUUGGUCUUAGCUAUGGCAGGCGGGGAGGUGUUUUGCUUUGC
rnacentral:lncRNA from 1 species